AAUCCUUCAAGCUCAUUUGAGAUCCUAGGAUUCGUAGAGGUGAGCAAGGACAUUCUACAAAUAUCCACGGUGUCUCUUUUGGAAGUAGACGUGGUACAAGUAUUGGUGCUUUCUUCACUUCCAGAUGCAGAAAAAAGCAGGUUGGAAUUAUUUACUGUGCCCAAAAUACUACCAACAGUUUCUGAAAGCUUCACUGAUGAAAGAGGGAAACUGAAAGAGGAGCUGAUUCAUUUGAACCUGUAUGAGAUGGAGCACACUCUGUCCUCUGCAGUCUUGGACUUUCAAAGUAACCAAAUAUAUGGCUUCUGUAAUCAAGCACCGUACAUCUGUAGCUAUCUUCUUCCUGAAAAACAGGAAGAUACCAAGGUUUGUAUUCUUAAGCCACACCAAAAAGUGCAAAGCAAGCAUUAUGGAACUGGAAUGCUCUAUCUAUCUUGGCAUGGAUUGUGGCUCAUAACAAUAGCUAAAUGUGGAAUUCUGUGUAUCCGAGAUAUUUAUACUUUGGUAAGCUCCUUAAAAAAAAAGUAUGCAGUGUGUAUAUUGAUUUCAGAUAACUAACAAAAGUCCUUAGAAGACAAACCAGAACU
rnacentral:lncRNA from 1 species